rfam:Phialophora attae strain CBS 131958 Contig3, whole genome shotgun sequence.
AUCCAAGUGCUCGGGUCUUAACUGUGCCGUUGAGGAUUUUCAUCUGAGGCCAGUUGUUUGCUAGUUGAAAACUACCAAAAGACCAGAUCUAUCCUGAUCUCUUUUGAUCGGGACGUAAUUGCUUUCCAAACAAUCAUUGCUGCUGUU